AAGAUCAACACUUAGUUUUCGCAGUGGUGCAGCCGAUGGGUCCCGGAACGUCUUUGGGAUUCUGUUAAAAUGUACACAACAAACUCAAUUUCUUAAACAGUCUCGACCUAAAACCCAAAUCCUCCAGAAACCAAUUCAGGAAACAAGUUGGACAAGAAAUGGAAAAAUUGAAAUUCGAUAAUCGGAACGACGAAGGGAAAACUUUCUCCAUUUGACAGACUUUGUUUCUUGUCCAGAAAAUUCCCCAACCAUUAUUAUCAUUCGUGGAUCGUAUUGUUUUUUAAUCGAAGAAGUUAAGAAUUAUGACAUUGUUAACAAAUUUGCAUGUCUUGAUAAAUGUAACCAUUAAUGGAAUAAAGCAACAUUAUGUUGCUGAACCAUUUGAAAAAAAAAAAAGAAUUAAGAGAUGUGUUAAA